GAAAUGCGAUAAGUAAUGUGAAUUGCAGAAUUCAGUGAAUCAUCGAAUCUUUGAACGCACCUUGCGCUCCUUGGUAUUCCGAGGAGCAUGCCUGUUUGAGUGUCAUUUUAUUCUCAACCCCUCCAGCUUUCUUAGUUGGUUUGGUGGCUUGGAUGUGGGGGAAUAAUUUGCGGGCCUCCUCAGAGGUCGGCUCCCCUGAAAUGCAUUAGCGGAACCGUUUGCGGUAACUGUCACUGGUGUGAUAACUAUCUACGCCAAAGACACCUGCUCUCUGAUAGUUCUGCUUCUAACUGUCCUAUUUACUUGGACAACCAUAUAUGACCACUUGACCUCAAAUCAGGUAGGACUACCCGCUGAACUUAA
rnacentral:misc_RNA from 1 species